GUGUGUAUAGCUCAGUGGUAGAGCACAGGCUUAACAUGCAUGAGGUCCUGGGUUCAAUCCCCAGUACCUCCA
rfam:Camelus ferus unplaced genomic scaffold scaffold2337, whole genome shotgun sequence.